CUGGGGAGUACAGUGGUACAGCACCUGCCCAGCAUGCAUGAGGCCCUGGGUUCAAAUCCCAGCACCAUA
rnacentral:tRNA from 1 species